rnacentral:rRNA from 1 species
CCUGGCUCAGGACGAACGCUGGCGGCGUGCUUAACACAUGCAAGUCGAGCGAUGAAGCUUCCUUCGGGGAGUGGAUUAGCGGCGGACGGGUGAGUAACACGUGGGUAACCUGCCUCAAAGUGGGGGAUAGCCUUCCGAAAGGAAGAUUAAUACCGCAUAAUAUAAGAGAAUCGCAUGAUUUUCUUAUCAAAGAUUUAUUGCUUUGAGAUGGACCCGCGGCGCAUUAGCUAGUUGGUAAGGUAACGGCUUACCAAGGCAACGAUGCGUAGCCGACCUGAGAGGGUGAUCGGCCACAUUGGAACUGAGACACGGUCCAGACUCCUACGGGAGGCAGCAGUGGGGAAUAUUGCGCAAUGGGGGAAACCCUGACGCAGCAACGCCGCGUGGGUGAUGAAGGUCUUCGGAUUGUAAAGCCCUGUUUUCUAGGACGAUAAUGACGGUACYAGAGGAGGAAGCCACGGCUAACUACGUGCCAGCAGCCGCGGUAAUACGUAGGUGGCGAGCGUUGUCCGGAUUUACUGGGCGUAAAGGGUGCGUAGGCGGAUGUUUAAGUGGGAUGUGAAAUCCCCGGGCUUAACCUGGGGGCUGCAUUCCAAACUGGAUAUCUAGAGUGCAGGAGAGGAAAGCGGAAUUCCUAGUGUAGCGGUGAAAUGCGUAGAGAUUAGGAAGAACACCAGUGGCGAAGGCGGCUUUCUGGACUGUAACUGACGCUGAGGCACGAAAGCGUGGGUAGCAAACAGGAUUAGAUACCCUGGUAGUCCACGCCGUAAACGAUGGAUACUAGGUGUAGGGGGUAUCAACUCCCCCUGUGCCGCAGUUAACACAAUAAGUAUCCCGCCUGGGGAGUACGGUCGCAAGAUUAAAACUCAAAGGAAUUGACGGGGGCCCGCACAAGCAGCGGAGCAUGUGGUUUAAUUCGAAGCAACGCGAAGAACCUUACCUGGACUUGACAUCCCUUGCAUAGCCUAGAGAUAGGUGAAGCCCUUCGGGGCAAGGAGACAGGUGGUGCAUGGUUGUCGUCAGCUCGUGUCGUGAGAUGUUAGGUUAAGUCCUGCAACGAGCGCAACCCUUGUUAUUAGUUGCUACCAUUAAGUUGAGCACUCUAAUGAGACUGCCUGGGUAACCAGGAGGAAGGUGGGGAUGACGUCAAAUCAUCAUGCCCCUUAUGUCCAGGGCUACACACGUGCUACAAUGGUAGGUACAAUAAGACGCAAGACCGUGAGGUGGAGCAAAACUUAUAAAACCUAUCUCAGUUCGGAUUGUAGGCUGCAACUCGCCUACAUGAAGCUGGAGUUGCUAGUAAUCGCGAAUCAGAAUGUCGCGGUGAAUACGUUCCCGGGCCUUGUACACACCGCCCGUCACACCAUGAGAGCUGGUAACACCCGAAGUCCGUGAGGUAACCGUAAGGAGCCAGCGGCCGAAGGUGGGAUUAGUGAUUGGGGUGAAGUCGU